rnacentral:rRNA from 1 species
AUCCCUGAUAAGUGAGAACUCCUGGAAUGGAUUCUCGCUGAAAGGACGUUUAGACCAUGCUUCUAGGCGUCGCCCAAGGAGGGGGCCGCGACCGAUCAGGUUGUUGGUGAGGUAACGGCUCACCAAGCCUUUAACAGGUACGGGCCGUGAGAGCGGGAGCCCGGAGAUGGGCACUGAGACAAGGGCCCAGGCCCUACGGGGCGCAGCAGUCGCGAAAACUCCGCAAUACACGAAAGUGUGACGGGGUCAUCCCGAGUGCCAUCCGCUGAGGAUGGCUUUUCCCCAGUGUAUAAAGCUGGGGGAAUAAGGAGAGGGCAAGCCUGGUGUCAGCCGCCGCGGUAAUACCAGCUCUCCGAGUGGUGGGGAUGCUUAUUGGGCCUAAAGCAUUCGUAGCCUGCUUGGCAAGUCCUCCGUUAAAUCCAACGAUUCAAUCGUUGGGCUGCGGGGGAUACUGUCCGGCUAGGGGGCGGGAGAGGCCGACGGUAUCCUCGGGGUAGGGGUGAAAUCCUAUAAUCCCGGGAGGACCACCAGUGGCGAAGGCUGUCGGCUAGAACGCGCUCGACGGUGAGGGAUGAAAGCUGGGGGAGCGAACCGGAUUAGAUACCCGGGUAGUC